rnacentral:rRNA from 1 species
UACGGAGGGGGCUAGCGUUAUUCGGAAUUAUUGGGCGUAAAGGGCGUGUAGGCGGCUUCGUGUGUCCCAUGUGAAAGCCCUCGGCUCAACCGGGGAACUGCAUGGGAAACUGCGGAGCUUGAGUCCGGGAGAGGAGAGCGGAAUUCCCGAGUGUAGCGGUGAAAUGCGUAGAUAUCUGGAGGAACACCGGUGGCGAAGGCGGCAUCCUGGACCGAGAGUCGACGCUGAGGCG